rnacentral:lncRNA from 1 species
GUGGAAUGUUAUAAGGACAAUUGUAAGAUUAGAUUAUCAUAAGUCAAAUGAUCAUAAGUAGAGGAGCACCUGUAUUAGAAAAAAAUUGAUAAAAUUAUAGAUCAACUAUAAAUUAUUUUUGGGAGAAUUCUAGAUUACCUGUCCUCAUAGCGCGACGCGACACUACUUCAAUUACGUUGUAUGACGCGGCGUUUAUACAAAAUACUGUUCAUUCUUUACUGUACCCCUCAGGGUGGUUCUGUACCAGGGCCUGGUACAGAACCACCUGAGGGCUGGUUUCGUUCUGUAGCCAGGCCCAGGGAGGCCCAAGAAAGGCCGGACAGCCUUUCAUUUAGGCCUCUCGUUCCCUCCCCCAGGCCGGAUGGCCUGCCGUGGGCUUGGUGGGACAGAUUUGGCCUGGUGACGUCAG